AGUGAACGCUGGCGGUAGGCCUAACACAUGCAAGUCGAACGGCAGCACAGGAGAGCUUGCUCUCUGGGUGGCGAGUGGCGGACGGGUGAGGAAUACAUCGGAAUCUACUUUUUCGUGGGGGAUAACGUAGGGAAACUUACGCUAAUACCGCAUACGACCUACGGGUGAAAGCAGGGGAUCUUCGGACCUUGCGCGAUUGAAUGAGCCGAUGUCGGAUUAGCUAGUUGGCGGGGUAAAGACCCACCAAGGCGACGAUCCGUAGCUGGUCUGAGAGGAUGAUCAGCCACACUGGAACUGAGACACGGUCCAGACUCCUACGGGAGGCAGCAGUGGGGAAUAUUGGACAAUGGGCGCAAGCCUGAUCCAGCCAUACCGCGUGGGUGAAGAAGGCCUUCGGGUUGUAAAGCCCUUUUGUUGGGAAAGAAAUCCAGCUGGUUAAUACCCGGAUGGGAUGACGGUACCCAAAGAAUAAGCACCGGCUAACUUCGUGCCAGCAGCCGCCGUAA
rnacentral:rRNA from 1 species